rnacentral:lncRNA from 1 species
CUAAUCCUUAUUCUGUUUGUACUUCCUGAGAGGAGGAAGGAAAUACUGGCUGCACACAGCAGAUGUGGAAGAACUCUUACAGACUGCCAGUGCCUGGCUUAGAUGCAAAGAAUUCGUCUUGUGAUCUUCCAGCCUGGAACAUUGCACUGGAUAAAACUGUUUGGAUGUUAACCAGCAAGAGAUCCACUCCCUUCACUGCUCCUAAAUGUUAUUUACGAAGUCACUGAACAAUCCAGGACUAAGAAAAGAUCUUUCUACCAACUUUUCUGCUCGCUUAAUAUUAUGAACUGGUAUGAAUCUC